ensembl:lncRNA
UCCCUAUUUAAAAAGUUUGAGGACCCCUCUAACCCCUAGAUGAUGGGUUUUUUUUUUCAUUCAAUGUGUAUUUAUUAGUAUUUAUGAAAAGAGUUCAAUGAAUAUCAGGAGAGCCAAGUAUUAUCAAUAUAAGACCCCCUCAGUUACAGCCUCAGGUGCCUGAGAAAAGGACCUAGGAGCUUCCUCAUCACUACUCACUCUAGCAUCUCACCUGGUCUUCCCACCUCAAGUCUUUCUUCUGUCCAAUGUCUUCCUGACGAAGAAGCAUUCCUAAGGCACAGGCCUCUUGGAUAAAACACAUUCUUCUGUUCUUUCACAAUCUAAUUACAAUGUACCUUCCCAAUCUCAUUACACAUUUUCCCACUCACUCUGACUACUUAAGAUCAUAGGAUACUAUAUUUGAAGGCCAUCAAGGCCAUUUUUCUACAAUGGAAAGAUCAAUGAUUGAAAUAGGAAGUUCCAAUCUUGUUUUUGCCAGGUAUGGUUAUAAAAGCCUGUAAUCCUAGAUACUGAAAAGACUUAUAAUAAUGGACUUAUAAGACUCCCUUCUUAAGUAAAGGAGUUCUGAACUUCAGUGUAUCUGAAGUUUGUAGGCUGUCUACACAAGGGCCAGCACCAUAAUGGUCAUCUCCAACUUGGGAGAGGAAGGUCGCAAGAUUGUCCCAGCACCAUUAUGGUCAGCUCUAACUUGGGCGAAGGUCACAAGAUCCCAGAACCAUUGUGAUCCAUCUUGGGAGGGGAAGGUCACAAAGUUGUCCCAGAACAUUAUUGGCAUCUCCAACUUGGGAGAUAGUCACAAGGUUGUCAGAAGGUCAAGUCAGUCCAGGUUGGAAGUGGAGCUGGCCAAAGCUUCUAUGCUCAUCAAUUGUGAUUUCAAGCCUUUGAGUAAGUUAUGAAUUUUCAAUCUGGAUGAAAUAAAUAUGAGUUUCCCACCUAUCACCUCCCCCAAAACUCCGCUCCUCUCCCACAGUAUCUACAGAACAUGGGGAGCACAUCACCUAUUAGCUGGUUCUCAGAUCCUUUCUUAAAUGGAGCAUUAGAUUAGAUGCCCUCCGAAUCUAUUCAAGCCCCAAGGAUAUGACCACCACCCAAAGAUGUGGUUCACCAGUCAGAUGAUGUCCUUCAACUGAGGAAAUCAACAGUAGGCAAGACAAAGCUCAAGGCUACUGUGCUGUGAUCUGGGCAAUCCAUCCCGUCUGGGAUGCACAAUCUUCCCACCUUUAUCUAGUAGAAUUCUCCAAGACUACCACCUUCUCUGCUUGACCAUUCCUGAUCUCUCCUGGAAAUAAAAGUAUCCUCUCUGAUCUCAGAAAUUCCCACAUCACUUUAUCUGUUUCCUUUCCUUGUAUUAUACUAUUUUUAUACAUGUCAUGUUCCCUCCAAUAGAACAUAAGCUCCUCCAAAGCAGCUAUUAUUUCAUUUUUGACUUUGAAUCUCCCAUUCCUAGCACACAGUGGGUGCCUAAUAUGUGGAACCUCACUCCCUGUGUUCAGCAAAACAACCGAGGCACACACCCAAAUUGAUUUUUAUUUUGCAUACAUAGGAAACAGGACCCUAUCAAAAGGUACUUUAUUUUUUUUUUUUUUUGCUAAAAAUAGAAAGGAAAAAAAAGGAACAGAAAUCAUCAAAAGUUUUGCAGAGAAAAAGCAUGCACAAACUUGUAAGGGACUUUGGGUUCUUCUGACUCACUAAGUAGGGACUAAAUGACUUCACCACUGUUAAAAGAUGAAAAGGUGGGUAGAAUCCACCAACAUUAACAGAGGAAACAAGAAUUGCAGGAAAACUUCACCAGAAGUUGAAUUUCAAGAUACAGUAUCAGAGUUCACUGUAACUGGGUUCUACCCCAUAUUUCUGGGAAAACGUUUUUCUUGCAAUAUAUAGAAAAUUGUAGAUCACCAUCAAUCUUCUAGUAUCUUAGGGUCCUUGCCCCAUGUUCUCCCCUCCCCCCAAAGCUCCCCUUAUGGUUAUAUCGGGUUUUGAUUACUAUUCAGCUGGACUGCGAAUCUGGAGUCAACUGAUAACAUUGCUUCCUUGUUCAAAAUGUGUGUAUAAAUUUAAUAUGCAUAUGUCUGUGUCUAUAUGCAUUUAUGAAUAUUUGCACAUGUAACCAGGAAAAAAGUAGACAUUUUGCCCCAAAGGUUGGUUCCUUAGGCAGGAACCUUAUGUAGUCCUUUUCUUCAAAGACAGGAUAUAAGUCUGGGGGCAGCUUGGCAAGGGUCUGGAACCUGAAGCAGCUGAAGUUGACUAUGAUUUGCAGGACAAAUUUCAUCUCCAUCCAUUGGGGUUUUCUUCUCUUUUUUAGCAUGUCAGUGUCAAAAUAGAAUUCCCUAAAGUACUCUGAUUCCAAAAGUAGACUUUGCUUUAGAUACAUAUGAGUCCCUUCAAAACACAAUGCUGCAUGUAGAACUUCCCAUAUGUCAGGGUUCUUAAUCUGGGGGAGGGGUACAAUGUAAAUUUGGGUGGGAAAAAUUAAAUUUAUUAUCACUAACUUCUUACUGAAAAGUCAC